GGAGAAACUAGAGAACCUCUAGUACAGAGAAUCGCCAACUUGAUCAUGUGACUAGCUAUUCUGUGAUUGGCUGGCAUAAAAUGUACGGAUUUGGACAUUGCGACACUAAUGCAGAACAGAUGAUUACAUGUGUAAGAUACUAUCGUACGCUAUGCCAUCGAAUUGCACAGCAUACAACUGUUGCAACAGAAGUGAUGAAGGUUACGCAUUAUUCAGAUAUCCGCAAGAUGAGAUUAUGAAGAGAAAAUGGAUUGCUAUCGUUGAAAGAGGCAAAAACUGAUUCCCUAGUAGUUCACAAAAACUUUGCGAGGUACACUUUAAGCCAGCAGAAAUCGAAUUUUUUCCUAGACGCAAGCGAGUUAAGCUUAGUUUAGUUCCCUCUCGUUUCUGUAGCUGGUCUUCAGGAGAUCGAAAGAAUCCUCAAAGAAAGUUGAGAAAAAAGCAGAAUAUAGGAAUAGUCUUUACAAACAGCAAGUUUCUAUUAGAAAACACAAUAAUUGUUGUGUUGUUAUGCAACCACAAUUGAGAAAAAAUGAUAUAGUAGCUGUCCAACAAGAGGAGUUUAUUGAAAAAGUGUUUGUAAAGAAAAUGCUAUGUUAAGGACAGUUGUUUUCCUUCUUCAAAAAAUAUUGCAAAAUAGAGCACAGUGAUCUUGUGAUUAUAACAAAUUUGUAUUAAAAACCUAUUAUUAUUGAAACAGAUUGUGAUUAUUUAUAUUCCUUUAAUAGCACAAGAUAUUGAAGGGAUAUCAUGGUCUCAU